UUUUUUUGCUUGGGUAGUAUUAGUUAAAUUCUUGAAACUCAAAAAAUUUGGCGGUAUUUUAGUCUAUUCAGAGGAACCUGUAACGUAAUUGAUAAUCCACGUUGGACCUUACUUAAUUUUGUUUACAAUUUGUAUACCGCCGUUAUUAAAAAUUUUAUAAGAAAAAUAAUUUUUAAAAAUUUAAAAAAGAAAAUAAAUCAGGUCAAGGUGCAGUUUAUARUUAAGUGUUAUAUGGGUUACAAUAAAUUUAUUUAUAUGGAUUAAUAUUUGAAAUAAAGUUAAGAAAUUGGAUUUGAUAGUAAUUUUUAAUAGAUUAUAAAAUUGAUUUUAGCUCUAAAAUAUGCACACAUCGCCCGUCACUUUUACUAUUAAUGUAAGAUAAGUCGUAACAUAGUAGAUGUACCGGAAGGUGUAUCUAGAAAGACAAUUUAAAGCUUAUUAAGUAAAGUAUUUCAUUUACAUUGAAAUGAUUAUUGUGCAAAUCAAUAUGAAUUGAUGAAAUAAAAUUAUUAAUAUUUUAUUUAUAUUAUUUUAUUAAAAAUAAUUUUUAUUUUGUUUUAGUAUUUUUUAAAGAAUAAAUAAUUUUUAUUAUAGAGAAUUAAUAGUACUGUGAAGGAAUUU
rnacentral:rRNA from 1 species